rnacentral:rRNA from 1 species
UGCAUAUCAAUAAGCGGAGGAAAAGAAACCAACAGGGAUUGCCCCAGUAGCGGCGAGUGAAGCGGCAAGAGCUCAGAUUUGAAAUCGUGUUUCGGCACGAGUUGUAGAGUGUAGGCGGGAGUCUCUGUGGAGCGCGGUGUCCAAGUCCCUUGGAACAGGGUGCCUGAGAGGGUGAGAGCCCCGUAGGGUGCUGCGCGAAGCUUUUGAGGCCCUGCUGACGAGUCGAGUUGUUUGGGAAUGCAGCUCCAAGCGGGUGGUAAAUUCCAUCUAAGGCUAAAUAUUGGCGAGAGACCGAUAGCGAACAAGUACUGUGAAGGAAAGAUGAAAAGCACUUUGAAAAGAGAGUGAAACAGCACGUGAAAUUGUUGAAAGGGAAGGGUAUUGGGCUCGACAUGGGGGGUGCGCACCGCUGUCUCUUGUAGGCGGCGCUCUGGGCGCCCUCUGGGCCAGCAUCGGUUCCUGCUGCGGGAGAAGGGGCUCCGGAAAGUGGCUCUUCGGAGUUUAUAGCCGGGGCCAGAUGCCGCGUGUGGGGACCGA